GUAUUCUUCACCAGUUGUAAAACAGCUAGUCAUCGCCAUUAAGUUUUAGUAGUGUCAAGUUGAAAUUUCCAUCGACAUCAUGCAGAAACUGUUUGUUGUAGCCCUGUUUGCUGCUGCCCUUUGCCUCGCCUUUGCUGAUAAAGAAAAGGAAAAGACGUACGUCUACGGCAAUCCACUGUAUUCCAACCUCUACAAUCAUCCACUCUACAGUCCCUAUGUCUACAAUCCUCUAGUUCCUAGGGCUGACGUAAAACCAGUGGAGUACAAGUAUACUGGCUACAACACUUAUAACCCUCUCUACCACGGUCUUUACUACCCCGGAUAUUACUACCCACGUUAUGGCAUCUAAAUUCAAGAAGAUAUAGAUGACUAACAAAAUGGCGAUACUGACCAACAAGUAUUGAUCCCGAUUUGUAGACUUCGACAUGGCAAUGACUAGAGGACCUUUUCUCUCUUCAUACCCGGGUGUUUUCAUUAUUCUUGUUUUCAUGUUGUGUAUUUCAUGUUUGAUUUCU